CAGCCACAUCAUAUUGAAACACUGGUUCCCGUAUGAUCACCGAAGUUAAGCAACGUCGAGUCAGAUCAGUAGCUAGAUGGGUGACUGCUUAGGAAUUCCAGAUGCUGUAAG